rnacentral:rRNA from 1 species
AGCGAACGCUGGCGGCAGGCCUAACACAUGCAAGUCGAACGAACCUUUCGGGGUUAGUGGCGGACGGGUGCGUAACACGUGGGAACGUGCCUUUAGGUUCGGAAUAACUCAGGGAAACUUGUGCUAAUACCGAAUGUGCCCUUCGGGGGAAAGAUUAAUCGCCUUUAGAGCGGCCCGCGUCUGAUUAGCUAGUUGGUUGAGGUAAUGGCUCACCAAGGCGACGAUCAGUAGCUGGUCUGAGAGGAUGAUCAGCCACAUUGGGACUGAGACACGGCCCAAACUCCUACGGGAGGCAGCAGUGGGGAAUCUUGCGCAAUGGGCGAAAGCCUGACGCAGCCAUGCCGCGUGAAUGAUGAAGGUCUUAGGAUUGGAAAAUUCUUUCACCGGGGACGAUAAUGACGGUACCCGGAGAAGAAGCCCCGGCUAACUUCGUG